rnacentral:lncRNA from 1 species
UGAAAUGUUUUGCUUUAUUUUCCUGCAGAAUUUGGAAGGGGAAUGCAUGAAGCAUAUGUAGGAGUAUAGGUGGAUUUUCUCUGUUUAUCUGGAGGAAUAGAAAUGUUUCGGGAUUGGCAUGCAGAGCUACAUGCGUAAAUGUAUUUCUAGAUAUGUGCACUGUCAUCGUACUUCACUGGUAGGAAUAAAGUACAUUUCAUUGUGUACUUUCAAACAGCAGUUUCUUGCACAGGUAAACCGAUACAGUAGGUUGCUGUUGCUCAGGGGAAGGGAUCUCUUUUCUCACUACCUCCUCACAGACCCAUGGGCCUACUCUGUUUGCCUUAUUGGUGCUCUGGCUUGUCAGAUCCUGCAAGCCCAUUCAGUUAGUUAAACCAGCCACAUGCAACAGUUUGAAUAAUGUUCUGUGGAGUCAGUGAGUCCAUGUGUUAGGAGCGUGAGAAGUCAGCGGGAUUACCUUCUCUCAUGAAAUUGUGCUGAAUUGUUAUUGGGAACAGCAGUAUGAGGUAACCUUUGGUGUUAGUUUGAUACUAAUGUCUGCUGAAGAAAGAUGAAGGUAUUGGGUUUGUCGGCUAUUUUAUGCCUAGGAUUUUGAUUACAUUUGCUGCAAGCCCAUUCAAAACUGUCAGUAAUUCAUCCCGUGAUAUCGGUGCCCACUGAUGUAGUCUGUUGCCAUGAACCAGAGUAGAAACUGCUGCUUUUACCUCUUCUCCAACUAUUCCAAAAUAGUUUUAAUGCCCAACUCUAGUUCCAUUCCCACAGAAAUGAAUUAGAGUUUUAUUGUAGAUGGGAACAGCAAAUGUGGGGCUACUGCUCCCAACCACACAUCAGGACAGUGACAGUCUUUACAGCUGCGACACUUGAAAAUGGUGAGUUUACAAAGAUUUUUAGGGCAGGGUGAGGUCCCAGCUGUUAGUUGGGGAUGUUCCGGAUUUGUAUGGAACCUGGUCUCAAAGCAGCAGUAUCUGGUCCCUGACUUUCAAAGUUAUUUGUCCCCAGUACUUGAAAUGUGCCCUCUUUUUCUUCUUGCUUCCUUCCCUUCACAACGUGCACUCACUUCAGUGGAUCUUUGUUGUUGGAAUUCAAGCGGAGUUUGAAGUGUAUGGUUUGAUGGGUAUGUGUAACUUAGCACUGAGAGAAUGAACAUUAACUUUGUUUUUUACUUUACCUGCUCACCUUUUCUAAUAUUUUUGUUAAAUACUGUAUUUUCACUUCAAAGGCACUCUAAUUUUUGAGGGAAGGCUUGAUCUGUGCAGUGUGCUUCAGUUUGUCCAACUAGGUAAACAAAGUUGUAAGUUCAUUAUUGUUGCACUUUUAUUACACAGUAAAUUCUUUGUGGAUACUGUAAUGUAUUUUAAUAUGCUUUGUAAUAAUUUUUAGAAAGUGGUGAUAAAAAUUGCUGAUUUAAUAAACUAAUAUUGAACUAC